rnacentral:rRNA from 1 species
CCUACGGGAGGCAGCAGUGGGGAAUAUUGGGCAAUGGGCGCAAGCCUGACCCAGCAACGCCGCGUGAAGGAAGAAGGCUUUCGGGUUGUAAACUUCUUUUCUGAGGGACGAAGAAAGUGACGGUACCUCAGGAAUAAGCCACCGCUAACUACGUGCCAGCAGCCGCGGUAAUACGUAGGUGGCAAGCGUAAUCCGGAUGUAUUGGGUGUAAAGGGCGUGUAGGCGGGAAAGCAAGUCAGAUGUGAAAAUUCAGGGCUCAACCCUGAGCCUGCAUUUGACACUGUUUUUCUUGAGUGCUGGAGAGGCAAUCGGAAUUCCGUGUGUAGCGGGGAAAUGCGUAGAUAUCAGGAGGAACACCAGUGGCGAAGGCGGAUUGCUGGACAGUAACUGACGCUGAGGCGCGAAAGCGUGGGGAGCAAACAGGAUUAGAUACCCUUGUAGUC